UCAAUGAAGCUAUUUGAAGUAGAUCCGUUGAUAUAGUCUGUCAUAGAAGGCGGGUCACGACCAUAAAGGGCGCGGAAGGGGGUCAUAUGAAUUGCCGAGUGGUAUGAAGUGUUAUACCAAUAUUCAGCAAGAUGAAGGAAUUUGUACCACUAUCGCGGCUGGGAGCUAACGAAACAGCGAAGGUGUUAAGGAACAAGGGAUCCCGAUCUGAAACAAUAGACUUUGGUUGACCAUGAAGGCGUGCGAUUUCAACUACAAAUCGUUUAGCAAGAUCUUGUACGGUGAACUGAGAGGGCAUAGCAAUAAAAUGGGCAGACUUGGUGAGACGAUCGCAUAUGACCCAGAUUAUGGUGUGGCCGAAGGAGUUUGGCAAAUGAGUUAUGAAGUCCAUUGAAAUGUCCUCCCACACUUGUUUUGGGACAGAUACCUGGCCAACAGAAAGAUGUAGAGAUUCGGGCUAGUGUGGCUUUAAGUCCUGAAUGUCCUGCAGUAGGUGUGGCGUGG